ACUCACGGAGCGCUCUCGGGGAGCAGCGGUUCCUUGGAGCCCGCAGACCAGUCCCAGCAACAGCGGCUCUCCGGCGGUGCUGACCAGUCGUCACGGAAUUCUCGGUGGAAGCCCGCGAUCGGGCUCAGCCGCCCGGCCUCCGACAACUGUCCCCUCCUCCGCUGUGAGGGGGAGGGGGACGCUAGGCAGCCGCGGCUAGCGCUCGCCCAACUUCAGCCGCCUGUGCGAACUGAGGAGGAAAUAGCUUACACCAGAUGGUUAUUUGCCACUUGAACUGGAGAGGAGGAGAGAUUGCAUCUACAACCACCUUGAAUGUGCCCGAUCUUGUCUGAUCUCAGAAGCUAAGCAGGUGGUUCCUCAGACCCUGUUCAACUGUCCCGCAGGCCGGGACAGAAGCCAGCUAAGGUUGCUUGAUAGAAGGCUGAGAAAGAAUGAGACUGCUGAGUGAAGCCAGAGGGAGAAUACGCUCAAAGACAAGCAGUGUCACUGAAUGGAGACAGUUGGAUUUUUAGGACAUUGCUGCAUGGGCACCGGGCCCUUCCAUAUCUGGAAGACUCAGAACUUUACGCACGACAUUUAUGGGACCCCCUCUGUCACAGCCACUGUGCUCUAUGUUAGUAAAUCCACUGAGCUAUUAGAUAUUUUUGUUGGUAGUUGUGUUGGUGAUUUAUUAGUUGUAUUUAUUAUAUCUGAGCCAAUCAAAGAAAUGUAAUAAACAAUAAUUUCUUAA
ensembl:antisense jun proto-oncogene, opposite strand